AGAGUUUGAUCAUGGCUCAGAUUGAACGCUGGCGGCAGGCCUAACACAUGCAAGUCGAACGGUAACAGGAAACAGCUUGCUGUUUCGCUGACGAGUGGCGGACGGGUGAGUAAUGUCUGGGAAACUGCCUGAUGGAGGGGGAUAACUACUGGAAACGGUAGCUAAUACCGCAUAACGUCGCAAGACCAAAGAGGGGGACCUUCGGGCCUCUUGCCAUCAGAUGUGCCCAGAUGGGAUUAGCUAGUAGGUGGGGUAACGGCUCACCUAGGCGACGAUCCCUAGCUGGUCUGAGAGGAUGACCAGCCACACUGGAACUGAGACACGGUCCAGACUCCUACGGGAGGCAGCAGUGGGGAAUAUUGCACAAUGGGCGCAAGCCUGAUGCAGCCAUGCCGCGUGUAUGAAGAAGGCCUUCGGGUUGUAAAGUACUUUCAGCGGGGAGGAAGGGAGUAAAGUUAAUACCUUUGCUCAUUGACGUUACCCGCAGAAGAAGCACCGGCUAACUCCGUGCCAGCAGCCGCGGUAAUACGGAGGGUGCAAGCGUUAAUCGGAAUUACUGGGCGUAAAGCGCACGCAGGCGGUUUGUUAAGUCAGAUGUGAAAUCCCCGGGCUCAACCUGGGAACUGCAUCUGAUACUGGCAAGCUUGAGUCUCGUAGAGGGGGGUAGAAUUCCAGGUGUAGCGUGAAAUGCGUAGAGAUCUGGAGGAAUACCGGUGGCGAAGGCGGCCCCCUGGACGAAGACUGACGCUCAGGUGCGAAAGCGUGGGGAGCAAACAGGAUUAGAUACCCUGGUAGUCCACGCCGUAAACGAUGUCGACUUGGAGGUUGUGCCCUUGAGGCGUGGCUUCCGGAGCUAACGCGUUAAGUCGACCGCCUGGGGAGUACGGCCGCAAGGUUAAAACUCAAAUGAAUUGACGGGGGCCCGCACAAGCGGUGGAGCAUGUGGUUUAAUUCGAUGCAACGCGAAGAACCUUACCUGGUCUUGACAUCCACGGAAGUUUUCAGAGAUGAGAAUGUGCCUUCGGGAACCGUGAGACAGGUGCUGCAUGGCUGUCGUCAGCUCGUGUUGUGAAAUGUUGGGUUAAGUCCCGCAACGAGCGCAACCCUUAUCCUUUGUUGCCAGCGGUCCGGCCGGGAACUCAAAGGAGACUGCCAGUGAUAAACUGGAGGAAGGUGGGGAUGACGUCAAGUCAUCAUGGCCCUUACGACCAGGGCUACACACGUGCUACAAUGGCGCAUACAAAGAGAAGCGACCUCGCGAGAGCAAGCGGACCUCAUAAAGUGCGUCGUAGUCCGGAUUGGAGUCUGCAACUCGACUCCAUGAAGUCGGAAUCGCUAGUAAUCGUGGAUCAGAAUGCCACGGUGAAUACGUUCCCGGGCCUUGUACACACCGCCCGUCACACCAUGGGAGUGGGUUGCAAAAGAAGUAGGUAGCUUAACCUUCGGGAGGGCGCUUACCACUUUGUGAUUCAUGACUGGGGUGAAGUCGUAACAAGGUAACCGUAGGGGAACCUGCGGUUG
rnacentral:rRNA from 1 species